AACGAACGCUGGCGGCGUGCCUAACACAUGCAAGUCGAACGAGAAAGUUUCCUUCGGGAAACCAGUAAGGUGGCGCAAGGGUGAGUAACACGUGAAUAAUCUGCCUAUGAAUUCGGGAUAACUUGACGAAAGUUGCGCUAAUACCGAAUAAGACCACGUCUCUUAUGUGAUGUGGCCAAAGGAGUCUCAAACUCCGUUUAUAGAUGAGUUCGCGGACCAUUAGCUUGUUGGCGGGAUAAUAGCCCACCAAGGCUACGAUGGUUAGCCGGCCUGAGAGGAUGAUCAGCCACACUGGGACUGAGACACGGCCCAGACUCCUACGGGAGGCAGCAGUGGGGAAUAUUGCACAAUGGGCGAAAGCCUGAUGCAGCCAUACCGCGUGUGUGAAG
rnacentral:rRNA from 1 species